rnacentral:lncRNA from 1 species
GGCUGCAGUACUACAUACAGGCCUCAAGGAGAAGCUGGGGUUUCAGUGGGAAGUGGAGGACUGGAAGGGGAGAGUUGGGGUGAAAAGCCUCGGUUGGAGCUGGCCGUCCUGGGGAGCACGGGAGCCCCACUUCCACUCUAGCCACCUCCUCUACAGCAAGCUGAGCUCAGGAGCCUGGCAAGCACAGUGGUGGGGCCAGGAGCUGGGGCACAAGUGUGAAAGCCAAAGUAUGCCAAGUGGAGGGACGUCUUUCCCAUGGUCUCCAGGGAACCUUCACG